GAUGAAGAACGUAGCGAAAUGCGAUAACUAAUGUGAAUUGCAGAAUUCCGUGAAUCAUCGAGUCUUUGAACGCACAUUGCGCCCCCUGGUAUUCCGGGGUGCAUGCCUGUCCGAGCGUCAUUGCUGCCCAUCAAGCACGGCUUGUGUGUUGGGUCCCGUCCCCCUCUCCCGGGGGACGGACCCGAAAGGCAGCGGCGGCACCGCGUCCGGUCCUCGAGCGUAUGGGGCUUUGUCACCCGCUCUUGUAGGCCCGGCCGGCGCUUGCCGACACCCAACCAUUUUUUUCAGGUUGACCUCGGAUCAGGUAGGGAUACCCGCUGAACUUAAGCAUAUCAAUAAGCGGAGGA
rnacentral:misc_RNA from 1 species